rnacentral:rRNA from 1 species
AGUCGAGGGGUAGUUUACUUCGGUAAAUGAGACCGGCGCACGGGUGCGUAACGCGUAUACAAUCUACCUUUUACAGAGGGAUAGCCCAGAGAAAUUUGGAUUAAUACCUCAUAGUAUUUUUGAAUCGCAUGAUUUGAUUAUUAAAGUUCCAACGGUAAAAGAUGAGUAUGCGUCCCAUUAGCUAGAUGGUAAGGUAACGGCUUACCAUGGCAACGAUGGGUAGGGGUCCUGAGAGGGAGAUCCCCCACACUGGUACUGAGACACGGACCAGACUCCUACGGGAGGCAGCAGUGAGGAAUAUUGGACAAUGGGCGCAAGCCUGAUCCAGCCAUGCCGCGUGCAGGAAGAAGGUCCUAUGGAUUGUAAACUGCUUUUAUACAGGAAGAAACACCUCUACGUGUAGAGACUUGACGGUACUGUAUGAAUAAGGACCGGCUAACUCCGUGCCAGCAGCCGCGGUAAUACGGAGGGUCCAAGCGUUAUCCGGAAUCAUUGGGUUUAAAGGGUCCGUAGGCGGCCAAAUAAGUCAGUGGUGAAAGCCCAUCGCUCAACGAUGGAACGGCCAUUGAUACUGUUUGGCUUGAAUUAUUAGGAAGUAACUAGAAUAUGUAGUGUAGCGGUGAAAUGCUUAGAGAUUACAUGGAAUACCAAUUGCGAAGGCAGGUUACUACUAAUAUAUU